CUUACUGGCAAUUUUGGUUUGGCAGGGUUGCUUCUCUAGAGCUGGUCUUCAGAGAAGUGCUAGGAUUGAGGGCUUAGUAAGCGUUGGUCUGCGUGACUGUGGAAUUUAAAGAGUUGUUGGGCUAGUGUUAAGGUGGUUAGAGUUGGUCCAGACAGAGGGCUGGACACAGGCACUGCAUAGAUGCCUGUUGUAGCAGAAAUGCUAAGUCACAGCUUGAACCAGUGAUUGAGCACCUGGUGGAAAGGUAGGGCUAACCCAGGGGAGCUCAGGUGCGUGCAGUGUUCCUGAGUGACUGGAAGGGCUGGAGCCAGGAUCCACCCCUUCCCAGACCUCAUUAAAGGGUUGGCAGUGGAGCUGAGGGCCUCUCACUGGGGGUCCCUGUGUAUCUGAGGCCUUCCAGGGAAUUUCCAGGGAGCGGUGAGGAAGGUGAUGAUAAACCAUACAGUAACGUGUGAACCAGAUCUGUCUUGGCAAGCAAGAUUCUGAGCCCUCAGAGGCGUCCUCGUUUCUACCUCCGGAUGGAUGCAUUCUUUUUGGAGAUGACUGCAGAGGAGCACGUCUGUGCCAGUGCAGUGCUUGCUGAGCAAGUGUGGUGGUUUGGUUUUGCAUCCUGCGCAGAAGAGGCUGAUCAAGGCAGCGGUACGAUGCGCACUCCCUGCCUCCAGCUGCAGUGAUUCCAGGCAGACCAUUGAAAUGCCU
ensembl:lncRNA